rnacentral:lncRNA from 1 species
UGAGAGGUGACAUCUUACAAGGUUGAUGCCAGAGCACAGCAUCGAUUGAAAUCAAAGUCUAAUAUGCUCCAAAAGGCGGGCGACCUCCAAAACAGACACAUACCUUGUUGAGCAUCGCACAUCUUGGGCUCACAUAGCUAGAAAAAAUCCUCUUCUACUGAACAUCGCCUAAAUCUCUCUCAACUUCUCUCCUCUAAUCUCCCUGAUUCAUCUCCAUAGCAUCAGUUAGUUCAACACUUCCUCGCCCACCUCUCUGUUCUUCACACAGCCACCCUGACCAUAGUUGCUAGACCUGCCACCCACCUCCCUUCACCUGUAGUUCUGUACCCAGGGCUCCUCUGCAUCUCGCCGCCCUAGCCUAAGAGCAUUUAAAAACGUUGUUUGGGUUAAAAAAUUGUAAUGAUAUGGCGAAAAUGAUCCAAUGAUUGUAAGUAGUGCCUUAUAUCAUCAUUGUUAUAAGAUAAGCAUUCCAGUACUAUAUACCAUUCUUAUUAAAUAUUGCAAGAGGAUCAUUAUAACUCAAACUCAGGUUCCGGUUUGAUGCAAUAAUCAGAUUUCAGAAAAGUGAGUAGGAAGACGUACAUCAAUUGUAACUCGGCCAAGCCGAUGUGGUACUUUGGGAUAUUGCUGCAAUGACAGAUGGUGAGUAGAUAAGCAUUGUGUAAUGAACCAACAUGAGCUCAGCAUAAAAGAAGGACAUGUUCUCCACCUGCAUUGCAUUAAACAGAACCAAAUAAGAUUUCAUCGAGUGAUGGUAGUCCAGAUAUCCGACAAUAGGACAUCUUAGUAGCUAGCCAGCUCAUAUUUAUUACAAAUAUCUUAAAAAAUUAAUACUCCCUUAUGUGAAUUUAAUUCAAACAUAUUUGUACAGCGUGUAUUCAAAUCGAGAAAGAUAAAUAUGAAUAUGAGGCAUGCCCACUUGAUGAAUAUCUCGAUCAUCAGAAGUAUUCCCACCUAAAUGUCAAUGCACUGGUCCACUAUCUGAAUGCCAAUGCACUGGUCCACUCCUGACACGAGCAUAUGUAGGAACAUGAAUAUAAUUGUUUUCUCGUAUGAUAUUGAUGUGUAUUAAAUGACAAACAUCAUAUUAGCUUAACUUUUCUAGUCAACAUAUAGUUCCGCAAUUAGCAAAUGGUAAAAAUUAUUAGGAGUCCAGACCAGCAAAAUCCAAUUGAUCUCUUCAGCAACUACUCUAUUCUGCCAAACCAAUAUUUUGACAGAUCAUGUGAUUACUCCACAAUCUAAAAUAAAGAGACACCUGAAGGUGAUAACUACAAAGUAGAUGAACCAAGAGUCACCACUUGCUCAUGAAGAAAAUUAUUCAAGGGUAUAAACUUGAACUACUAAUGCAGGCUGCAAAAUAGACGGGAAAUCAC